UACGUAGGUGGCAAGCGUUGUCCGGAUUUACUGGGCGUAAAGAGCGCGCAGGCGGUCGUUUAAGUCGAGUGUGAAAGCCCCCGGCUCAACUGGGGAGGGUCACUCGAUACUGAUCGACUCGAAGGCAGAAGAGGGAAGCGGAAUUCCCGGUGUAGUGGUGAAAUGCGUAGAUAUCGGGAGGAACACCAGUGGCGAAGGCGGCUUUCUGGUCUGCUCUUGACGCUGAGGCGCGAAAGCUAGGGUAGCAAACGGG
rnacentral:rRNA from 1 species